AGGGUUUGAUCCUGGCUCAGGAUGAACGCUGGCGGCGUGCCUAACACAUGCAAGUCGAACGAAGCACUGUAAACGGAGAUUCGUCAAAGUUUACUUUGACUUAGUGGCGGACGGGUGAGUAAUGUAUGAGCAACCUGCCUUUCAGUGGGGGACAACAGUUGGAAACGACUGCUAAUACCGCAUGAAGUCAAUUGGGGGCAUCCCCGAAUGACCAAAGGAUUUAUUCGCUGAAAGAUGGGCUCAUAUCUGAUUAGCUAGUUGGUGAGGUAACGGCUCACCAAGGCUGCGAUCAGUAGCCGGACUGAGAGGUUGAACGGCCACAUUGGGACUGAGAUACGGCCCAG
rnacentral:rRNA from 1 species